rnacentral:rRNA from 1 species
UCCGGGUUGAUCCUGCCGGACCUGACUGCUAUCGGAUUGAUACUAAGCCAUGCGAGUCAUUGUAGUAAUACAAGGCAGACGGCUCAGUAACGCGUAGUCAACCUACCCUAUGGACGGGGAUAACCUCGGGAAACUGAGAAUAAUACCCGAUAGAACAUUAUGCCUGGAAUGGUUUAUGUUUCAAAUAAUUUAUUGCCGUAGGAUGGGACUGCGGCCUAUCAGUUUGUUGGUGAGGUAAUGGCCCACCAAGACUAUUACAGGUACGGGCUCUGAGAGGAGUAGCCCGGAGAUGGGUACUGAGACACGGACCCAGGCCCUAUGGGGCGCAGCAGGCGAGAAAACUUUGCAAUGUGCGAAAGCACGACAAGGUUAAUCCGAGUGGUUUCUGCUAAAGGAACCUUUUGUCAGUCCUAGAAACACUGAUGAAUAAGGGGUGGGCAAGUUCUGGUGUCAGCCGCCGCGGUAAAACCAGCACCUCAAGUGGUCAGGAUGAUUAUUGGGCCUAAAGCAUCCGUAGCCUGCUUUGUAAGUUUUCGGUCAAAUCCAUACGCUCAACGUAUGGGCUGCCGGGAAUACUGCAAAGCUAGGGAGUGGGAGAGGUAGACGGUACUCGGUAGGAAGGGGUAAAAUCCUUUGAUCUAUUGAUGACCACCUGUGGCGAAGGCGGUCUACCAGAACACGUCCGACGGUGAGGGAUGAAAGCUGGGGGAGCAAACCGGAUUAGAUACCCGGGUAGUCCCAGCUGUAAACUAUGCAAACUCAGUGAUGCAUUGGCUUGAUGCCAAUGCAGUGCUGCAGGGAAGCCGUUAAGUUUGCCGCCUGGGAAGUACGGCCGCAAGGCUGAAACUUAAAGGAAUUGGCGGGGGAGCACCACAAGGCGUGAAGCUUGCGGUUCAAUUGGAUUCAACGCCGGA